rnacentral:rRNA from 1 species
GCAAGUAGAACGCUGAAGCUUGGUGCUUGCACCGAGCGGAUGAGUUGCGAACGGGUGAGUAACGCGUAGGUAACCUGCCUCUUAGCGGGGGAUAACUAUUGGAAACGAUAGCUAAUACCGCAUAAAAGUCGACAUUGCAUGAUGUUGACUUGAAAGGUGCAAUUGCAUCACUAAGAGAUGGACCUGCGUUGUAUUAGCUAGUUGGUGAGGUAACGGCUCACCAAGGCGACGAUACAUAGCCGACCUGAGAGGGUGAUCGGCCACACUGGGACUGAGACACGGCCCAGACUCCUACGGGAGGCAGCAGUAGGGAAUCUUCGGCAAUGGGGGCAACCCUGACCGAGCAACGCCGCGUGAGUGAAGAAGGUUUUCGGAUCGUAAAGCUCUGUUGUAAGAGAAGAACGAGUGUGAGAGUGGAAAGUUCACACUGUGACGGUAACUUACCAGAAAGGGACGGCUAACUACGUGCCAGCAGCCGCGGUAAUACGUAGGUCCCGAGCGUUAUCCGGAUUUAUUGGGCGUAAAGCGAGCGCAGGCGGUUAGAUAAGUCUGAAGUUAAAGGCUGUGGCUUAACCAUAGUACGCUUUGGAAACUGUUUAACUUGAGUGCAGAAGGGGAGAGUGGAAUUCCAUGUGUAGCGGUGAAAUGCGUAGAUAUAUGGAGGAACACCGGUGGCGAAAGCGGCUCUCUGGUCUGUAACUGACGCUGAGGCUCGAAAGCGUGGGGAGCAAACAGG